rnacentral:rRNA from 1 species
GACAGAGGCCUCAAGCGUUAGGCGGAAUCACUGGGCUUAAAGCGUGUGUAGGCGGAUCGUUAAGUGCCUUGUGAAAUCCCACGGCUUAACUGUGGAACGGCUGGGCAUACUGGCGGUCUUGAGCCAUCUAGGGGCGACUGGAACAAACGGUGGAGCGGUGAAAUGCGUAGAGAUCAGGAAGAACACCGGUGGCGAAAGCGCUCUGCUAGGCCGCAACUGACACUGAGGGACGAAAGCUAGGGGAGCGAAUGGG